AUUGAACGCUGGCGGCAUGCUUUACACAUGCAAGUCGAACGGCAGCACGGGUGCUUGCACCUGGUGGCGAGUGGCGAACGGGUGAGUAAUGCAUCGGAACGUGCCCAUGAGUGGGGGAUAGCCCGGCGAAAGCCGGAUUAAUACCGCAUACGCCCUUAGGGGGAAANCGGGGGAUCUUCGGACCUCGCGCUAUUGGAGCGGCCGAUGUCGGAUUAGCUAGUAGGUGAGGUAAAGGCUCACCUAGGCGACGAUCCGUAGCUGGUCUGAGAGGAUGAUCAGCCACACUGGGACUGAGACACGGCCCAGACUCCUACGGGAGGCAGCAGUGGGGAAUUUUGGACAAUGGGCGCAAGCCUGAUCCAGCCAUGCCGCGUGAGUGAAGAAGGCCUCGG
rnacentral:rRNA from 1 species